rnacentral:other from 1 species
GAAACCCUGCGUUGUUCGUAAAGGCUACCGCGUUUCGAGCCAACACCAAUACAAAGGGAGCCUAGCUCUGGGUGUGGCUUGCAGGCCCCACGAGACAGGGGAAGCAAAAAGCAUUCAGGAGGGCACCCACCUGGGAGACCGGGUUCGGGAAACUGCGGAUGCUUACGGCAACGCGGGGUUUUU